rnacentral:rRNA from 1 species
GAUGAACGCUGGCGGCGUGCUUAACACAUGCAAGUCGAACGGGGAUUAUUUUGACAGAGACUUCGGUUGAAGUUGUUAUAAUCCUAGUGGCGGACGGGUGAGUAACGCGUGGGUAACCUGCCUCACACUGGGGGAUAACAGUCAGAAAUGACUGCUAAUACCGCAUAAGCGCACGGGAUUGCAUGAUCCAGUGUGAAAAACUCCGGUGGUGUGAGAUGGACCCGCGUUGGAUUAGCCAGUUGGCAGGGUAACGGCCUACCAAAGCGACGAUCCAUAGCCGGCCUGAGAGGGUGGACGGCCACAUUGGGACUGAGACACGGCCCAGACUCCUACGGGAGGCAGCAGUGGGGAAUAUUGCACAAUGGGGGAAACCCUGAUGCAGCGACGCCGCGUGAAGGAAGAAGUAUCUCGGUAUGUAAACUUCUAUCAGCAGGGAAGAAAAUGACGGUAC